AGUGAACGCUGGCGGUAGGCCUAACACAUGCAAGUCGAACGGCAGCACAGUAAGAGCUUGCUCUUACGGGUGGCGAGUGGCGGACGGGUGAGGAAUACAUCGGAAUCUACUUUUUCGUGGGGGAUAACGUAGGGAAACUUACGCUAAUACAGCAUACGACCUACGGGUGAAAGCAGGGGAUCUUCGGACCUUGCGCGAUUGAAUGAGCCGAUGUCGGAGUAGCUAGUUGGCGGGGUAAAGGCCCACCAAGGCGACGAUCCGUAGCUGGUCUGAGAGGAUGAUCAGCCACACUGGAACUGAGACACGGUCCAGACUCCUACGGGAGGCAGCAGUGGGGAAUAUUGGACAAUGGGCGCAAGCCUGAUCCAGCCAUACCGCGUGGGUGAAGAAGGCCUUCGGGUUGUAAAGCCCUUUUGUUGGGAAAGAAAAGCAGCAGGUUAAUACCCCGCUGUUCUGACGGUACCCAAAGAAUAAGCACCGGCUAACUUCGUG
rnacentral:rRNA from 1 species